ensembl:lncRNA
AGACACGCAGAUCGAGUCGGCCGAGUCCGGAUGAGGAGCAACACCUCUUCACUUAUUGGUGGUGGCGUCCAAUUGAUCCGGAAUGAGGCCGGGACGCAUAACAAGGAGGCCUUUACCGGGAGUAUUGACCAGAAGUUCACGUAAAAUCAUCAGGCUCAAGCUUCCACGGUUGUCCCGAUGCCAGCGAGGGGAACAAGGGAGCCCGGGUCCAAUCCAUCUGUCCCCGGACCGGGUCAUCCAAGAAUGCAAGAAUGUGAGGGAAAGAAAGAUGGUGGACGAGCUGACAGGAACGCAGGGACGCGGCCCUUCGCCCGCUGCCAGCUCGGCUCCACACAGCUGCACUGGAGCGAGGCACAUCUGUGCACAGAUGUGGUCGUUGUUCCUCGUUUACCGACGGCGGGAAGAGCAGCAUGAGCAUCUUCGGGUUUUACUUCUCCGGCGUCGUUGGAAGAAGACAAAGCAACAAAACCAAAAAAGGUGUUGAAUCGGAAACGAGACAUUGCGACGAUGGUUGCAUAUGCUCGCUGUUUGUGAGCGAGGGCUCCAAUCAUUAACCCCCCACCCGCCCCCCCCGCCAGCGAGCGUGUGUCGAGCUACAGAUGGCAGGGGAGCACCGGGAAUCCGACGCCAGCUAUUCCGAGCUGCUGCGUCGGCGAGGUUGCGCUUGCUGCGUGUUCCCGAGUCUUCGCGAGAGCGGUACGUUUUCACAGGGAGCCGACAGACCGGCUGCUAAAUGCAGGAAAGUUUCUGCGGGAUCCGAAGUUUGGUGCGAAUAGAGGCUCCGCGUCGCUGACGUGGGGGACCUUUUUCCUAAUGAAGCUGAGCCCAUGCAAAGGUCCAGAUGGCUUUGAACCGCGGGACUCUCCAGAGACGUCACUGGGAUAUUUCGAGGGCCAGUUUUGGAGUUGGUGUGGGAGUGAAUGAUCCCAAUGCUUGAAAAGCAUCAAAAAGACACACAAGCCGUAUUAUUUUCUUUCCAAUGCUCGUCCAAUUAAGAGUUUGGGUUUCCGCCUUUGCUGCUGCGAUAACCUUCAUCGGAUUCUGUUCUGUCUCAUUGGAAAUAUAUUUAUGUUAAAGGC